rnacentral:tRNA from 1 species
AGUGGUUAAGAGCUUGGCUGCUAACCAAAAGAUCAGUGGUUCGAAUCCACCAGCCACUA